GUCUACCUAGGUAUGGAGUCAUAACCUUUCAGUCUACCUAGGUAUGGAGUCAUAACCUUUCAUCUACCUAGGUAUGGAGCCAUAACCUUUCAUCUACCUAGGUAUGGAGUCAUAACCUUUCAUCUACCUAGGUAUGGAGUCAUAUCCUUUC